rnacentral:rRNA from 1 species
AACGAACGCUGGCGGCAUGCCUAACACAUGCAAGUCGAACGAAGCCUUCGGGCUUAGCGGCGCACGGGUGCGUAACGCGUGGGAAUCUGCCCUUGGGUUCGGAAUAACAGUUAGAAAUGACUGCUAAUACCGGAUGAUGUCUUCGGACCAAAGAUUUAUCGCCCAAGGAUGAGCCCGCGUAGGAUUAGGUAGUUGGUGGGGUAAAGGCCCACCAAGCCGACGAUCCUUGGCUGGUCUGAGAGGAUGAUCAGCCACACUGGGACUGAGACACGGCCCAGACUCCUACGGGAGGCAGCAGUGGGGAAUAUUGGACAAUGGGCGAAAGCCUGAUCCAGCAAUGCCGCGUGAGUGAUGAAGGCCUUAGGGUUGUAAAGCUCUUUUACCAGGGAUGAUAAUGACAGUACCUGGAGAAUAAGCUCCGGCUAACUCCGUGCCAGCCGCCGCGGUAA